rnacentral:tmRNA from 1 species
CCGCUGGCGCUUCUCGUCUUGGCCCCUUAUAUUGGAUGUGUCGGGCAACCGACUAUGACGCUAAACGCCAUGUGGAAUAGACGUUACGGACCCGGGGGCGGUACCCGGCGCCUCCACCAAGACGCUCAGGCCCGACGGCCGGAAACCUCGGGGGCGAAAUAGGAUCGACGUGCGCAGUAAAGGCAUGGUUUGCGUUCGGCAUGAUACCACCGUUAUCGGGUCAACCCUAACAAGUGCCAACGACAACGUUGAACUUGCCGCUGCCGCCUAACAGGCUGUAAGCGCGGUCCGGGGGGCACCGGGCAACAGAAGCCCCCCACU